rnacentral:rRNA from 1 species
GACGGAGGGUGCAAGCGUUGCUCGGAAUCACUGGGCGUAAAGGGUGCGUAGGCGGGUCUUUAAGUCAGGGGUGAAAUCCUGGAGCUCAACUCCAGAACUGCCUUUGAUACUGAAGAUCUCGAGUCCGGGAGAGGUGAGUGGAACUGCGAGUGUAGAGGUGAAAUUCGUAGAUAUUCGCAAGAACACCAGUGGCGAAGGCGGCUCACUGGCCCGGUACUGACGCUGAGGUGCGAAAGCGUGGGGAGCAAACAGG